CUGCUCGCUUUGGCAGCACAUAUACUAAAAUUGGAACGAUACAGAGAAGAUUAUCAUGGCCCCUGCGAAGGAUGACACGCAAAUUUGCACUUUUGA
rnacentral:snRNA from 1 species